rnacentral:rRNA from 1 species
UACGUAGGGAGCAAGCGUUGUCCGGAAUCAUUGGGCGUAAAGCGCGCGUAGGUGGCUCCAUAAGUCCGUUGUGAAAGUCAAAGGCUCAACCUUUGAAAGCCGAUGGAUACUGUGGAGCUAGAGUACGGAAGAGGCGAGUGGAAUUCCUGGUGUAGCGGUGGAAUGCGCAGAUAUCAGGAGGAACACCAAUAGCGAAGGCAGCUCGCUGGGACGUUACUGACACUAAGGCGCGAAAGCGUGGGGAGCGAACAGG